ACCUUUAGUUGCCAGCAAGUGAGGUUGGGCACUCUAAAGGGACUGCCGGUGACAAACCGGAGGAAGGUGGGGAUGACGUCAAAUCAUCAUGCCCCUUAUGAUCCGGGCUACACACGUGCUACAAUGGGCUGUACAGAGGGAGGCGAAGGAGUGAUCCGGAGCGAAUCCCAAAAAGCAGCUCUCAGUUCGGAUUGCAGGCUGCAACUCGCCUGCAUGAAGCCGGAAUCGCUAGUAAUCGCGGAUCAGCAUGCCGCGGUGAAUACGUUCCCGGGCCUUGUACACACCGCCCGUCACACCACGAAAGCUAACAACACCCGAAGCCGGUGAGCUAACCGCAAGGGGGCAGCCGUCGAAGGUGGGGUUGGUGAUUGGGGUGAAGUCGUAACAAGGUAGCCGUAUCGGAAGGUGCGGCUGGAUCACCUCCUUUCUAAGGAGA
rnacentral:rRNA from 1 species